UGAAGUCACUCAACCCAUGAGACACGAGGUGUCCCUGCCCUUCACCUUGAGGACCAGUGCAGAAAGCUAUGAAGCUGUGCCCACGGGACAGCCCAAGGUGUCAUAGCAGGAGCAGAGGGUGGAAGAGACACUGCAUGGUUGAGCCCCAUCCCCUGCUAUUGGAACCACUGUACAAUGGGUGUUUUGGUUCUGGAAGCCCCACAAGACAUCCAGGUUUCCUCUCCUUGACAUGCAGCCCUCAUCCCACACUAAACUGUGAACCUAAGCAUGGACAACCAAGAACCAUCAAAGCCCAGUGGAACACAGGAGGAUGUUUUGUUCUUCACCCUCCUCCAGAUCCUGCUCAGAUCCACCCUGUAAUCUUGCCAUCUCUCUUUGCGACAUCUCUCUUCAGCCACACCCGGGAUGACGCACUGCCAUUUCUCAGCUCAUUUCAUUGUGUGCCUACAAGUCCUGCUGCAAAGCCAGCGUGGAAAGAAACAACAGACAAAAAUAACGAAGCCAGUCCAG
rnacentral:lncRNA from 1 species